rnacentral:lncRNA from 1 species
UUUCCUUUUAUUUUUAUUUUCUAAUUUUUAUUUAAAAUACAUUUAUUUUGUUUAAUUCAUAUAAAUUUUAUUUUUAAUCCAAAAAUAUACGGGACUUUUACCAAAAAUCUUUAAAUAUUUUCCUCUAUCAUAUUUUGAAUUAGAAACUUUUUUUGGAUUAAUUUUGAUAUUUUUUGUGAAUUAAAUUAUUUUUGACUUAUUUUUAAAUAUUUUUAAAUAUUUUUAAAUACUUCUGACUUU